AAAAACUCUUUUAAUAAUAAAACUUUUCCUCUGCUGAGACCUCACGUGGUGUCCUUGUGUACUUUAUGCUGCCUCUGGACUCCGGCUCUUUGUGCCUCAACCUGCCAAGUGUUGGGAUUACAAGUGCCAUCAUGCUUAAGUAUAACUCCCAUUUUCAACUGGAAUUUGCAUUUAUCACUGGAACUAAACACAAUCAUAAGGGCUCACAUUAUGGAAUGUUUACAUUUUAUGAAACUAAAAGAAACUAUGAAGACAAAUUUUAAAUUUUUUUCAAGGUUGGGUGCUCUCUACUAGAAGUCAAAAGAUAGUAACCGAAAAUGUACGUGCACUGAGAUGUCUAUAUUUUUCAAUACAAAAUCCCCUGAGAAUUGAGUCUUUCCUUUAUGUGGAACUUGCUCUGCUGAGGCCCUUCUGAAUGGAGGUUUUUGUCUAUAAAAAGUAUUAUAUUCUGGGAUUUGGGGAAAUAACUUAAAUGGAAAGGCACUUGCUAUGAAACCAUGGGAACUUUGAUUCUUGAUUCCCUAUGAAGAGCCAGGUGUGGUGCAUUUUGUGUGUGAUCCCAACACUGGAUAGGUGCAUUUCCUUAGCUAGACCAUGUAGCCAAAUCAGUGAGUGCCAUGUCCCAGUGAGAGAAUCUGUCACAAAAUAUAGGGCUGAUAGCCUCUGAGAAACAUCCAGUGUUGACAUCUGGCCUUCAUAUACAACAUAUAUAUGUGCAUGUGCACUCAACCCCCAAUACAUGCAUAAUGCAUACAUAAUACAUAUAUACAUACAUACAUACAUACAUACAUAAAAUAUAAUAUGCAGCUCAGUUGAUAGCAUGCUUACCUAGCAUGCAUGAUGCCUGGAGUUUAAUUCCCUGUAUCACAAAAACUGGGCAUGGUAGCACAUGACUAUAAUCUCAGCACUUCGGGGACAGAGGCAGGAAGAUUAGAAAUUUAAGAUCAGCCGGGCUGUGGUAGCUCACGCCUUUAAUCCCAGCACUUGGGAGGCAGAGGCAGGCAGAUUUCUGAGUUCAAGGCCAGCCUGGUCUACAAAGCGAGUUCCAGGACAGCCAGGGUUAUACAGAGAAACCCUGUCUCGAAAAAAACAAAACAAAACAAAAAAUUUAAGAUCAUCUUCACUAUUACACAGAGCACUCAAGGCCAGCCAAGAAACCCAUGUUUAAAAAGUAAAUUUUGUAUAUAUGUACACACACACACACAUGUAUGUA
rnacentral:lncRNA from 1 species